CGCCAGAUCAUGGCAAUGAUAACUGAUAACGCUGCUGGUGAUUUUCCUUCCUCCCAAGCCUCUGAUAUGCCUUAAAUUUACUAUUUGAAGAACUCAUUGCCACAGACAGCUCUAGGAUGAACAGUUCUAGGAUGAGCCUUGCCAGUGCUGUCCCAUUCUCUUCCUGUUUUGUUUUCUCUUUCCAAGCAGCAGAGAGUUCCUGGCAGCCCUUGGGAGAUCAUUUUUAUCUGCUUCCCAGUAAGCCAUAGGCAUUUUAUUACAAGAGCACUUUCUUGUAUAUGUGUAACUGUACAGUGGUACAUCGGGUUAAGUACUUAAUUCGUUCUGGAGGUCCGUUCUUAACCUGAAACUGUUUUUAACCUGUUGGCUACUGUGACAGGAUGCUGGGCUAGAUACACCACAAGCCUUACAGCAGGCUCUACUUACGGUAUGUUCUUAGGUGGUGACCAGAGAAAAGGGCUCCCCAACCCUUGACAUGGCACGUUCUUUAUGAAACUCCCCAUCCUAUCCCACCAUUCUCUUCCUACCAUAAUAGGUGAAAGCAUUUUCGUUUGCCCAUACUUUUUAAUCUUGUAGUUGAACGCCUUAUAUUUUUACUGGUUUUGCUGAAGCUGUAGUGGUUAUGGCUUUAAUGUUGUCUUUGUAUAUUAUAUCUGUGAGUUUCUCUGAAAAAUCAAGGUUAGUGAAUUCUUAUUGGUCUUUGGCCUCAAAAAGUUCUGGCCAUUUAAAAUUCACAAGGACCGGAUUAACUGAUUAACUCCUGAUUAAUCUAUUAGAAAUCUCUGGAUAAGUAUAGACUGAACCCAUUAAGUUAAGAAGUUAGGUUUUCCUCUUUUCUUCUUCUUCUUUUAAAUAGAUGGAUGACUAUUGUAAUGAAUAAAAAUGAACACAAUGUUAGAGGUUUUUAUUAAGUAAUAAGUUGGAUAUUACGCAUGUGGGUGAAGGAAGUCACGGGCAUUUGGGUAUAAGGGGAGGUGGCUGCAGGGUUAGAUUGGGGAAUUUGCAGAAAUAAUAUAUUCAUGUUAUGUAUAAUGUUGAAGGUGUAUGGCAAUUAACAUGUAAUGUGAAUUAACUAAAAAUAAAAUAAAUAAAAUAAAAAUAAAAUUCACAAGGACCACAAAGUGAGAGCAAAUGACCACGUCUCACUGAAAAGAAAGGAUCCAAAUAACUCAUCUAAGACACCUAUUUACAGAACACCCACUUAGUGAUGUUGUGUGUGGUUUUUUUUAAUGGAUUUUUUUAAGCUAAUGAGGUUAACUUGCAUGAGGUAAUUUCCAUUAGGAAAUUUUCAGUUUGCAUGUUUUGGUGCCCUAGAGAGUGAUCUAAUUUAGCAUGAUUGUUUUCUUUUUAUUUGGUAAGCAAACUUUUAAAAGUACUCCAUGCUGAUUUUUUGUUCCAAAUUUUAUAUAAUUAUUUGUGUUAAAAUAUUUUGGGGGGGGGGAUUAAAGCACACAAUGCAGCUUAAAUGUUAUAUUAUGUAGCAGUUUGAAUGGAAUACAGUGGUACCCCUAGUUACAAACUUAAUUUGUUCCGGAGGUCCGUUUUUAACCUGAAACUGUUCUUAACUAGAGGCGUGCUUUCGCUAAUGGGGCCUGUUGCUGCUGUAAUUGUAAAAUUCUUGUACCAGUUUAAGGACACAUCUCUUAACAAUGUUUAACUUAAGAAAACUAAAGGAGGGGAAAAGGAUACUGAAACUGUUGACACACUAAUAAAUUUUAGCAACCCAAAGAACUAUGCAUGAUAUGCUGACCCACAUACUUUCUUUGAAUACUCACCUGAAAGACAUUUACCGGUAAUUACAGCUAUGAAACUGCCUACUAUUGUAUUUACAAAUGGGAAGUUUUUAAUGUUUGAUGUUUUAUUGUGUUUUUAAUAUUCUCUUGAGAGCCGCCCAGAGUGGCUGGGGAAACCCAGUCACACGGGCGGCAUAUAAAUAAUAAAAGUAUUGUUAUUAUUAUAUUAACUGAAUUUCACCUGAAAACUUGCAGGCACAGUGAGCGCCAUUUGAUCUGCCUAUUAACAUUUGCACAAGCCUGUCAUUUUGGUGGCAUUAAGAUAACUUUCCAUCCUACCCUAGUGAAAGUUGAUCACACUGUGCAGAGAAAGGUCACAGCAGCACUUCCUUCCCAGUUAAGUGGUAAUUAGCAUAUUACUUGGUCUUUUGUUUGUCAUGUCCUAUUAAGUAAUCUGUGCUGUUAGCAGUUAUAGAAGUAAUAGCCGUGUUUCUGUUCUCAGCGGAAAUUAUGUUAAGCAAUGCAAAGAGUGUAGUUAGCAAGUAACACAUAAGUGAACUGUGCAUUUCAAAUUAUUUUCUUAUUCCAUCUUAUCAGGAUGGAAUAUAUUUCCAGGGAUGAUAAACGGUUGCUCAUCACAGAAGAAGGUGUGUCGUAAUUGAAAAAUAAAAAUAAAACCUGAGGAAA